AUUUGGUAAAUAAUGACAAUUUUAAUGCAAAGUUGACAUUAUUCAAAAUUUCUUUGUUAUGACAACUUGACAGAAACCUACCCAGCUAGCAAGCAAAUGUACGGACUAUGUCCGCCGAAUGUAGUCUGAAAGUCGGACUUCAAAUGUUCGGACUUGACAUUCGCCGAAAGUUGUCUUAACAUUCACUCCAAACAUUCGCACAUUAUGGAUAAAAUAUUUUUGCUGUAAUUUUAUUUAAUCAAUUUUAAUAUCUUUAAAACCUUUAUGGUGGUUAAUAUUUUUGACAAAAUCUUUAGUUUUGUCCUUUUAGAAAGUCUGCAUCUCUGAAUGUUGACUGAAAUUUGUAUGAACGUCCAUAUGUGAUGUUUUUAUAAAAUGCGGUUACUAACUUUAAUACCAUACUUAGGCACUAGGGGGCUCCACGCCCUGCCAAACAUUAUCCUCUCCAUUCAAAUAAUGGUUAUAAGUCUGAUUUUUCUGAUUGCCUUUCCUGCAUAAUCUGCAUUGCAUUUAUUCUAAAGUAACGUAAAUCUCAAAGGAGAGUAAUACUUAAAUAAAAGUCCAAGAAGUACUUUCAUUUAGAAAAUAUUUAUAUUAUGCCGAGUGACGUCACUUCCCAACCCAGAUUGUGUUCAGAUUUCUACAGUUAUGAAACAACGCUUCUGUAUUUCACAUGAAACCGAUGAGAUCUACCUUGUUAGGUAAGUUUUUGGUUUGCAUACUUAUUUGUAUCAUAUUCUGACCAAGCAUGUGUUUAGAGCGUAAAAAGGCAUAUAGCUUGUAACCGACACUUUUUAUGUGUACGUUUGUAUCACAUCGUCCUUCAUAUCGACCACAUGGCGCCAUUAUCUUAUGACUUCUCAAUUUUUAUUAUAAGUUUGACGCAGCCAGAAAUAUUUUUCUGUGUGGAAUGUGCUGCUCUUUUUUUUCUCUCGAUGUUGUAGUUUCCUGGACCAUAGUGUCAACAUAACUGGUAAGCAGGUAAUCAAGAAAGUUUGUGGUCGGUCUGCUUCAUUCAUAGACUGAGGGCCAUAGAAAAAACCCCAGCAUGGCCUCAGUCCACAUAUCUACCGAAAGUCAGUCAGAAUGGUGCUGCUAGCUUAUGAGUAAAAUUGAUAGAAGGAACUGAGUGCAAAUUGUCUUUUUCAGCGUAUCAAAUGGAAACAUUUAUGUUUGAGAUGUACUUUGCCCCUUUUAAAAAACCAGGUUAAAGAAAAUAAAUGCAUUAAUACUUUAUACUGCCAAAUGUGCAAAGCUUACUGACAUUUUCCAACACAACAAUGAAAAGAGGCAGCUGGUAAAGGGAGUUACACAAUUUAAUUUUCCUUUGUGAUCAAUGAAGUAUUUUUGAAUUGAAUUAUUUUUUGAUCCAUAGGUGGAAUCUAACUAACAGCAGGAUCGACAGGACCAGUCCUUCAAAGUGUUGUCGAUGCUGAUGGCUGUGAGCAGGAAGGAUCUCCUGUAGCAGUCUGUGUUACAAGCCUCUGACUGAAGACACUGUUUUUCUAUGAUAGUCUCAUGAAGAGGAUGCUCAGGGUUGGUCAUACUCUUCCUUUAUGAACAUUAUUGGCAUUUCAUACUAUUAAUAAUAUACUAUUUAAAUGUUUGCUGUAAUAGAUUUGAUUAAAGUAAUAACUAUUUUUUCUGAUAUGUAAUUUCAGGUGACAACGUGAAAGUAAGGCAUAAAUUCGCCUGGCUGAAGAUGUCAAACCUCAAAAGCAGAAUCCCAGAACGAUCAGGUGUAAAAGGUUUUUCUAUGGCAGUAAUUAGGAUUAUUGGCUGCAAAGAGAGCGAGUUCUUCGUGGUUUCCUUCAGUUGGAUCUCUUUAUGCUGCUUCAAUGUUAUUAGGAGAUUUAAAAACCACCUGCCUUUACUACUGUAUUACAGACCACAUCAAAAUACAUGACAAUCAAGUAUUAAUGGACAGAACUUGCCUUAAAUUAAAUAAAUUAUGCUGAUGUUUAUUCAGGUUUUUUAAUUAAAUGUUUUUGUUACAGGUGAACUGAGAUCUAUUCAGAUUCUGAGGAAAAGCCACAGAUUCAGAGAAUCUCCCCCAUGACCAGCAUUUCCAUGUAGCCACAGCCUCCCACGUGUCAUCUACCUUCACCAUCUUAUCCACUCUGAUGAUCCACCAGCUGCUCUGUGUUCACCUGUGGCCGUUUAAUCCAACAGGGCUGAAGGCUCUCAGUCUACAUUGUCUUCUUUGGCCACUGGGUAUUAAAUGCUCUGAGUUAUUUUACAUUCUAUUUUACUGAAUUUUUUUUGUCAUUCUUUGCAGACUGGAGCAUUCAGUGUAACGUCUUCAAAGCUUUAGAGGAGGUGAAGGAGACGGCCUUGGAAAACCACAGGAUGCUGCGAGUCAUUCUGAUCCGACUUACAGCCACUGAUUCUCCUGAAGAGAAGGAUUCACUGGAUCAGCUCGACCUUCCAUCCUCCACCGCAUAAAAAUUAAAAGUCCUGAACCAAAAACUGGAGUCAGGAGCUGUUCAGAAAUAAAUACUGGAUCUCUGAGGGACCUGAUUGGCUGUCUACAACAUUUUAUCCAAAAUCCUCUCAAACCGCCAAGCAGAGCAGUAGAGCGAACAGGAUGGAGAGAGAAGUCUUUCUGCUCACCAGCACUUGGUGACUGAAUUUAAGGCUGUACCAAAGAACCAAAGGUCAGAUUCAGAACACCAAAACAGUUUUAAGAAGGCUCAACGUUGUCUGGUUUGUUUGUUGGUUUUUUUAUUAUUAUUAUUUUGUGCAUGUGUCAACGCUCAUGAAAUCAGUUAUGGCGUAAAUAUCUCUUUUAAAGUCAUAUUUUUAAGCAGUGGUUGUUUUUUAAAUGCACUUUGCCUUGAUUUAUUAUUAUUGUGAAUGUCUUUUCUGAAAACUCAUUUCACUAAAAUUGAUACCGCGCUAUUUCACUUUGUUAUAAGCAAGGCUUCAUUAAUGUCUUUUUGGUACAUAUGUACUGCAUAUGUAUGAAUAAAUGUAAUUCUUUUUU